rnacentral:rRNA from 1 species
UACAGAGGGUGCGAGCGUUGUCCGGAAUCACUGGGCGUAAAGGGCGCGUAGGCGGCCUUCUAAGUCGAACGUGAAAUCCCCGGGCUCAACCCGGGAACUGCGUCCGAUACUGGAAGGCUUGAAUCCGGGAGAGGGAUGCGGAAUUCCAGGUGUAGCGGUGAAAUGCGUAGAUAUCUGGAGGAACACCGGUGGCGAAGGCGGCAUCCUGGACCGGCAUUGACGCUGAGGCGCGAAAGCUAGGGGAGCAAACGGG